rnacentral:rRNA from 1 species
GGGUUGUGAGGUUAAGCGACUAAGCGUACACGGUGGAUGCCCUGGCAGUCAGAGGCGAUGAAGGACGUGCUAAUCUGCGAUAAGCGUCGGUAAGGUGAUAUGAACCGUUAUAACCGGCGAUUUCCGAAUGGGGAAACCCAGUGUGUUUCGACACACUAUCAUUAACUGAAUCCAUAGGUUAAUGAGGCGAACCGGGGGAACUGAAACAUCUAAGUACCCCGAGGAAAAGAAAUCAACCGAGAUUCUCCCAGUAGCGGCGAGCGAACGGGGAGCAGCCCAGAGCCUGAAUCAGUGUGUGUGUUAGUGGAAGCGUCUGGAAAGGCGCGCGAUAUAGGGUGACAGCCCCGUACACAAAAAUGCACAUGCUGUGAGCUCGAUGAGUAGGGCGGGACACGUGGUAUCCUGUCUGAAUAUGGGGGGACCAUCCUCCAAGGCUAAAUACUCCUGACUGACCGAUAGUGAACCAGUACCGUGAGGGAAAGGCGAAAAGAACCCCGGCGAGGGGAGUGAAAAAGAACCUGAAACCGUGUACGUACAAGCAGUGGGAGCACGCUUAGGCGUGUGACUGCGUACCUUUUGUAUAAUGGGUCAGCGACUUAUAUUCUGUAGCAAGGUUAACCGAAUAGGGGAGCCGAAGGGAAACCGAGUCUUAACUGGGCGUUAAGUUGCAGGGUAUAGACCCGAAACCCGGUGAUCUAGCCAUGGGCAGGUUGAAGGUUGGGUAACACUAACUGGAGGACCGAACCGACUAAUGUUGAAAAAUUAGCGGAUGACUUGUGGCUGGGGGUGAAAGGCCAAUCAAACCGGGAGAUAGCUGGUUCUCCCCGAAAGCUAUUUAGGUAGCGCCUCGUGAAUUCAUCUCCGGGGGUAGAGCACUGUUUCGGCAAGGGGGUCAUCCCGACUUACCAACCCGAUGCAAACUGCGAAUACCGGAGAAUGUUAUCACGGGAGACACACGGCGGGUGCUAACGUCCGUCGUGAAGAGGGAAACAACCCAGACCGCCAGCUAAGGUCCCAAAGUCAUGGUUAAGUGGGAAACGAUGUGGGAAGGCCCAGACAGCCAGGAUGUUGGCUUAGAAGCAGCCAUCAUUUAAAGAAAGCGUAAUAGCUCACUGGUCGAGUCGGCCUGCGCGGAAGAUGUAACGGGGCUAAACCAUGCACCGAAGCUGCGGCAGCGACACUAUGUGUUGUUGGGUAGGGGAGCGUUCUGUAAGCCUGUGAAGGUGUGCUGUGAGGCAUGCUGGAGGUAUCAGAAGUGCGAAUGCUGACAUAAGUAACGAUAAAGCGGGUGAAAAGCCCGCUCGCCGGAAGACCAAGGGUUCCUGUCCAACGUUAAUCGGGGCAGGGUGAGUCGACCCCUAAGGCGAGGCCGAAAGGCGUAGUCGAUGGGAAACAGGUUAAUAUUCCUGUACUUGGUGUUACUGCGAAGGGGGGACGGAGAAGGCUAUGUUGGCCGGGCGACGGUUGUCCCGGUUUAAGCGUGUAGGCUGGUUUUCCAGGCAAAUCCGGAAAAUCAAGGCUGAGGCGUGAUGACGAGGCACUACGGUGCUGAAGCAACAAAUGCCCUGCUUCCAGGAAAAGCCUCUAAGCAUCAGGUAACAUCAAAUCGUACCCCAAACCGACACAGGUGGUCAGGUAGAGAAUACCAAGGCGCUUGAGAGAACUCGGGUGAAGGAACUAGGCAAAAUGGUGCCGUAACUUCGGGAGAAGGCACGCUGAUAUGUAGGUGAAGUCCCUCGCGGAUGGAGCUGAAAUCAGUCGAAGAUACCAGCUGGCUGCAACUGUUUAUUAAAAACACAGCACUGUGCAAACACGAAAGUGGACGUAUACGGUGUGACGCCUGCCCGGUGCCGGAAGGUUAAUUGAUGGGGUUAGCCGCAAGGCGAAGCUCUUGAUCGAAGCCCCGGUAAACGGCGGCCGUAACUAUAACGGUCCUAAGGUAGCGAAAUUCCUUGUCGGGUAAGUUCCGACCUGCACGAAUGGCGUAAUGAUGGCCAGGCUGUCUCCACCCGAGACUCAGUGAAAUUGAACUCGCUGUGAAGAUGCAGUGUACCCGCGGCAAGACGGAAAGACCCCGUGAACCUUUACUAUAGCUUGACACUGAACAUUGAGCCUUGAUGUGUAGGAUAGGUGGGAGGCUUUGAAGUGUGGACGCCAGUCUGCAUGGAGCCGACCUUGAAAUACCACCCUUUAAUGUUUGAUGUUCUAACGUUGACCCGUAAUCCGGGUUGCGGACAGUGUCUGGUGGGUAGUUUGACUGGGGCGGUCUCCUCCUAAAGAGUAACGGAGGAGCACGAAGGUUGGCUAAUCCUGGUCGGACAUCAGGAGGUUAGUGCAAUGGCAUAAGCCAGCUUGACUGCGAGCGUGACGGCGCGAGCAGGUGCGAAAGCAGGUCAUAGUGAUCCGGUGGUUCUGAAUGGAAGGGCCAUCGCUCAACGGAUAAAAGGUACUCCGGGGAUAACAGGCUGAUACCGCCCAAGAGUUCAUAUCGACGGCGGUGUUUGGCACCUCGAUGUCGGCUCAUCACAUCCUGGGGCUGAAGUAGGUCCCAAGGGUAUGGCUGUUCGCCAUUUAAAGUGGUACGCGAGCUGGGUUUAGAACGUCGUGAGACAGUUCGGUCCCUAUCUGCCGUGGGCGCUGGAGAACUGAGGGGGGCUGCUCCUAGUACGAGAGGACCGGAGUGGACGCAUCACUGGUGUUCGGGUUGUCAUGCCAAUGGCACUGCCCGGUAGCUAAAUGCGGAAGAGAUAAGUGCUGAAAGCAUCUAAGCACGAAACUUGCCCCGAGAUGAGUUCUCCCUGACUCCUUGAGAGUCCUGAAGGAACGUUGAAGACGACGACGUUGAUAGGCCGGGUGUGUAAGCGCAGCGAUGCGUUGAGCUAACCGGUACUAAUGAACCGUGAGGCUUAACCUUACAACGCCGAAGGUGUUU